AACACACUCCUUAGAUCUCUCUCUGAGGGCUGAUUGCAGCUCCAGCCCCCAACAACUUUUUGGCUGGACAGUUGGAGGUGCUUGAGUCAUUGGCAUGGGCGAACAGUCUACCUGCUCCCCAGCCCAUUACCUGCACUGGCAGCCUCGCUCGAAUACUACCGGUGCAGACAAGCUGGGGAGCAGACAUG
rnacentral:snoRNA from 1 species